AUCGCUUCUUGGCCUUUUGGCUAAGAUCAAAUGUAGUAUCUGUUCUUAUCGGUUUAAAACCACAAACAGAGUUUUAAGCUAUUUACUUUUCCUGGACACAUGAAGGAAAGAAUAUAAUUUAAAAGGGAAGUGCUUGAACAGCGAUCAGAAGACUCAAAGGAUUACCCUGGCUCUGAUUAUAAAAUGCAUUUUAGCUCAU